rnacentral:rRNA from 1 species
CUCCGGUUGAUCCUGCCGGACCUGACUGCUAUCGGAUUGGUACUAAGCCAUGCGAGUCAUUGUAGCAAUACAAGGCGGACGGCUCAGUAACACGUAGUCAACCUAACUCGUGGACGUGGAUAACCUCGGGAAACUGAGAAUAAACCACGAUAGACCAUAGUGCCUGGAAUGGCUUAUGGUCCAAACAGUUUACUGCCAUGGGAUGGGACUGCGGCCUAUCAGCUUGUUGGUGAGGUAAUGGCCCACCAAGGCGAUUACAGGUACGGGCUCUGAGAGGAGAAGCCCGGAGAUGGGUACUGAGACACGGACCCAGGCCCUACGGGGCGCAGCAGGCGAGAAACCUUAGCAAUGUGCGAAAGCACGACUGGGUCAGUCCGAGUGAUUCCUGAUAAAGGAGUCUUUUGCUUGUCCUAAAAGCACAGGUGAAUAAGGGGUGGGCAAGUCUGGUGUCAGCCGCCGCGGUAAUACCAGCACCUCGAGUGGUCAGGACGUUUAUUGGGCCUAAAGCAUCCGUAGCCGGCUUUGCAAGUCUUCGGUUAAAUCCACCUGCUCAACAGAUGGGCUGCUGGAGAUACUACAAAGCUAGGGAGUGGGAGAGGCAGACGGUAUUCAGUGGGUAGGGGUAAAAUCCUCUGAUCCAUUGAGGACCACCAGUGGCGAAGGCGGUCUGCCAGAACACGUUCGACGGUGAGGGAUGAAAGCUGGGGGAGCAAACCGGAUUAGAUACCCGGGUAGUCCCAGAUGUAAACGAUGCAAACUCGGUGAUGCAUUGGCUUAUGGCCAAUGCAGUGCCGCAGGGAAGCCGUUAAGUUUGCCGCCUGGGAAGUACGGACGCAAGUCUGAAACUUAAAGGAAUUGGCGGGGGAGCA